rnacentral:rRNA from 1 species
UACGGAGGGUGCAAGCGUUAUCCGGAUUCACUGGGUUUAAAGGGUGCGUAGGCGGGCAGGUAAGUCAGUGGUGAAAUCUCCGAGCUUAACUCGGAAACUGCCGUUGAUACUAUUUGUCUUGAAUAUUGUGGAGGUAAGCGGAAUAUGUUAUGUAGCGGUGAAAUGCUUAGAUAUGACAUAGAACACCAAUUGCGAAGGCAGCUUACUACACAACGAUUGACGCUGAGGCACGAAAGCGUGGGGAUCAAACAGG